rnacentral:rRNA from 1 species
CCUUUAGGUUCGGAAUAACUCAGGGAAACUUGUGCUAAUACCGAAUGUGCCCUUCGGGGGAAAGAUUUAUCGCCUUUAGAGCGGCCCGCGUCUGAUUAGCUAGUUGGUGAGGUAAAGGCUCACCAAGGCGACGAUCAGUAGCUGGUCUGAGAGGAUGAUCAGCCACAUUGGGACUGAGACACGGCCCAAACUCCUACGGGAGGCAGCAGUGGGGAAUCUUGCGCAAUGGGCGAAAGCCUGACGCAGCCAUGCCGCGUGAAUGAUGAAGGUCUUAGGAUUGUAAAAUUCUUUCACCGGGGACGAUAAUGACGGUACCCGGAGAAGAAGCCCCGGCUAACUUCGUGCCAGCAGCCGCGGUAAUACGAAGGGGGCUAGCGUUGCUCGGAAUUACUGGGCGUAAAGGGAGCGUAGGCGGACAUUUAAGUCAGGGGUGAAAUCCCGGGGCUCAACCUCGGAAUUGCCUUUGAUACUGGGUGUCUUGAGUAUGAGAGAGGUGUGUGGAACUCCGAGUGUAGAGGUGAAAUUCGUAGAUAUUCGGAAGAACACCAGUGGCGAAGGCGACACACUGGCUCAUUACUGACGCUGAGGCUCG